UUCGUACAUGUGUUCAGUAGCAUCCAGCUACAUUAGUAAACAUUAUUUACAUGUAAGACAAUAAUAUUUUUUGUUCAAACUAAGAUAAACAAAUGGUUUGAGCUAUGAAUACAAGAAACAUCAUGUAGACUUCAAGUGCUAUCAUGUAGACGUCAAGUGCUAUCAUGUAGAAGGAACAUCGUGUAGAGAGUAGCACACAAGAUCUUCCAACCAGGAUGCCAACCUGAAAGGACAAGAUGGUAGAUGUGCUAUAAGUUAAUAAGCUUGGUAAACUAUCUAUAUUGUAGAACAAAAAAUGGAGAUUACUUGUUGUUUCUUUUACAUCUUCUUAUUAAAUAAAGCUAGAACAUUACAAUCAAUUAAUAUGCUGAGAACCAAUGAAAUAAACUAAAUAACCAUCAUAAUUUCCAUCUUGUACAUGAGCUUGUUGUCUAUACUUCGAUAUCUAGUUAAGCAAAGAACAGCAAACACCUAGACAUAUAGUUUAUUCACAUGAGAUUCAAAGCUAUGAAACUAGGCUGCUAAAUAAUCAUAUUAUUUGCACAAGGUAGAGGCUCAUAAAAGAAGACCUUAAUAAAGUAGCAGCAUGAACUAGAAUGAGCAGAAUAUCUACACAUACCUUUUGACUAGUACAGAAUGCGCAAAUAUCUCAAUUCUCCUCCAUGCACAAGACUUCGAGUUGUAGUGAACUCGGUUCCUAAAGCUUUGUCUGGAAAUAACUAAAAUAUGCAUGAGAUAGGAUCAGAUAAUAUCAAGGCGUUACUAUUCCAAAGCAAGUAGUCAUACCAUGUUUUAAACCAGAUGCGUAGCUAACAGAAAACCUAUUUCUGCUAGCAACAUUUUCAGCUCAGUGUGUAUCUACAACAAGAUUCAUAAUGCGUACAAAACACUUAACAGUGUAAUGCCAGGUCAGCCACUUUUUACACAUGAAAAAAAUACUGGACUCUUUGUAGGAAUACAAGAUAAGGCAUCACAUAUGCACUUCAUAAAUGGUUAUAUGGCAGGAGGCCUGCGACUCUGUUUCAAGUACUAGCCAAUAACAAAAGACUCAGCUUCAGAAAACACAGGGCAUGCAAAAGCUCAGUUCCAGGACAUGUAAAAGCUUCCAAUAGUUGUAUGCAUAAAAAUGCUAAGCAAAUUCAGGGCAUGCAUACAUACACAUGCCAAGCAAAAUCUCGGCUCAUAUUUUACUGCAGUUUUAUUGGCAUGAAGCAUAUAAGAAACGAAAUGCUAAACAAGUUUCAAUGUUCAUGUAUCCAAAAAGCAAAAUACUGAAUCUAAGACUUAAAUACCAAGAUUAUUACCCCCUCAGCUUGCUUGUGGUUACGUACUGAUGUUGCUGCUUUUGCCAUGAACUUAUAAGUCAUUCUCAG
rnacentral:lncRNA from 1 species